rnacentral:rRNA from 1 species
UACGUAGGGUGCGAGCGUUUGUCCGGAAUUAUUUGGGGCGUAAAAGAGCUCGUAGGCGGUUUGUCGCGUCUGCUGUGAAAACUCGGGGCUUAACUCCGGGCCUGCAGUGGGUACGGGCAGACUAGAGUGCGGUAGGGGAGACUGGAAUUCCUGGUGUAGCGGUGAAAUGCGCAGAUAUCAGGAGGAACACCGGUGGCGAAGGCGGGUCUCUGGGCCGUAACUGACGCUGAGGAGCGAAAGCGUGGGGGAGCGAACAGG